AAUCAAGCGCGCAGUUGAAGAGGAGUGCAUGGUUUCCGGCAUUUGGCUGGGCCUUUGUCUCUCGCUCCCACCAGAGCUUGGAAUCCGUCUCUGCUCUUCUGCAUUCUCCACCUCGGGAGCCCCUGGGGACUCUGUGACGGCCUCUGUUGCCCUGUGAUCUGCAGGUCCGGAGAGACGCACAGCUAAGAUGUCAGGACAUCCUGGAAGCUGGGAAAGGGUCUUGCCAUCUCUAAGCUGGACCUGGUGACCUUUUUGGAGGGAAAGAAAGAGCCCUGGACUGUGAAGAGUGAGGAGACCAUAGCUGCACAGCCAGGUAAGUGGGAGUAAAGAUGGUAGGUGGCCUGGGUGAGAGGUUCAAAGGUCAAUAAGCCAGAUUUUCUUUUGUCUUCCAUUAUUUUAUUAUUUUUUAUAUAUAUAUAUAUAUAUAUAUAUAUGUGCAGAUCUGUUUUAUGUGCAACAAUUGAUUCUAUCAGAUAAUCAGACCAAGGCAUUCCACUGGUAAUUUUCCCUCAAAUCAAUUCAGGUGAAAUUAGAUAUUUAUGUACUUCCUGGGCUAUCAAAACUUGAGAUUUCAUUAUCAACUUCAGUUCUGAAGCCAUACACACAAUUCAAAAUAUACAUUAACUAGGUUAAGUCAAUAAAAGUGGGCUGAAAGAAACCACAGGAUUCAAACAAUGAAACCAUGUAUUUUGUUUGCCUGAGAGUCACAAUGUGAACAACAAUUAUUUCGCAUAUCUCAUAGCUCUUCAGUGUAGAGGGAGUGGCUUCUGAACAUAAGGUCAUUGCACAGCAGGUGGGCAAACAGCUGGUGUGGCCUCCUGGAGGCUUCACCCAGUGCUGAUUUCUUCUCUGCCUCUCCUUUUUUAGGUUCUAUUUUUUUCAUCUUUCAUCUUUCCUUUUUUUUUUUUUUUCCCUUGAGAUAGAGUCUUGCUCUGUUGCCCAGGCUGGAGUGCAAUGGUGCAAUCUUGGCUCACUGCAACCUCUGAAUCCUGAGUUCAAGUGAUUCUCAUCCUUCAGCCUCUGAAUAGCUGGGAUUACAGUUGUGCGCCACGAUGCCUGGCUAAUUCUUUGUAUUUUUUUUUAGUAGAGACAGGGUUUUGCCAUGUUGGCCAGUCUGGUCUCGAACUCCUGACCUCAAGUGAUCCUCAUGCCUCGGCUUCCCAAAGUGCUGGAAUUACAGGUGUGAGCCACUGUGCCUGGCCUCCUUUCCUAUUUUCCUAUUUUUUUCUCCCUUUUUGUCUCUCUCUUUCUAUGUGUCUUUCCCUCUGUUUCUCUCUUCCUUUUUUUUGUUUUGUAUUUCUCUCUUCCUCCUUCUCUCUUUCCCUUUGUUUCUUUUUAAUUUUUUUUCCUUGUAGAACUUGGUUUAUUUUUUCCUUCCUUCCUACCUUUCUUUCUUCUUUUCUUCCCUCCUUUCCUCCCGCCUGUUUUCUUUCCUACUACAUGAGCAUGCCAUCAUGCCUGGCUAAAUUUUUUAUUUCUUGUAGUAGAGACGAGGCCUCGCUAUGUUCCCAGGGCUGGCGUCAAGCUCCUGUGCUCAACUAGUUCUUCCAUUUCAGUUUCCCCAAGUGUUGGGAUUAUAGGUUUGAGGCACCAUGUUCUGCCCUCUUUUUAUUUUCUUUUUCAUUCUUCCUUUUUUUUUUUUUUUUUUUGCUCUCUCUCUUGCUUGCUUGCUUCUUUCCUUCAUUUCUUUCUUUAUUCUACAUUUUUCUUUUUUUCUUUUUUCUUUUCUUUUUUUUUGGAGAUGGAGUUUCACUCUUGUUGCCCAGCCUGGAGUGCAAUGGCGUGAUCUUGGCUCACCACAACCUCUACCUCCCUGGUUUAAGUAAUUCUCCUGCCUCAGCCUCCCAAGUAGCUGGGAUUAUAGACAUGUGCCGCCACGCCCAGGUAAUUUUGUAUUUUUAGUAGAGAUGGGGUUUCUCCAUGUUGGUCAGGCUGGUCCUGAACUCCUGACGUCAGGUGAUCUGCCCACCUUAGCCUCCCAAAGUGCUGGGAUUACAGGUGUGAGCCACUGCACCCGGCUCUUUUUUUCUUUUCUUCUUUUUUUUUUUUUUUUUUUUUUUGCGUUAGUCUCGCUCUGUCACCCAGAGGUAGGUGGGAAGCUCUCAGACUUAGUCGCCAGAGGGACAGCUUUGGGCGCGAGCUCCACACGUGGCCUGCAGGGUGGACCUAGUGGCUUCCUGGUCACACCAUCAGGUGACCAGAUGUGGGCUGAGCUGUGGCCAGUACUUGUGGCCGCUGGCCACACGUUUGGGUUGAUCAGAGAUUCAAAGCUUAGGAAGGAAGGUCAGCAGACUUAGAGGCCGGCCACUGAGGUGGGCCACCUUGGGGGGAAUAAGUUUCCAACGGGGACAGCUUCAGGCCGCAAGCGCCACACAUGGCCCAGGGUGGAACUGGUGGGCUUCUGCCUCCGCCAUGAGCUGGCUUCUCCUUCUGGCUGCCAGGUCUACAGGAUGUCGGCCACAAGCGUAGGACUUGGUCGCCAGCUUAAAAUGUUUAAGGGGGACCAGAUGGUUCUCGCCAGUGCAGUACCGCUUAGGUCCACCAGAAAAGCUCAAUGAUGGCUCACUGUGCCCUCCACCUUCCUGGGCUCAUCCAGGUGAUCCUCCCAUUUUGGCCUCCCAAAUAGCUGGGGAUCUGGGGAUAGUUCUGUGUUUUGUUUGUUUGUUUUUUUCUAUCCCCACUUUGAGUUUGUUUCCACAGUACAUUGAGUUUUGUUGGUUUUUGUUUUUUGGGUUUUUUUUCCCUCUCUCUCUCAUGCUCCUUCCUGUACACUGCAGUUGCUGUUGUUUUAGAUUUCUUUCACCUAGGCUUAAGUGCAGUUACUUGAUCACAGCUAACUACAGCCUCGACCUCCCUGGGCUCAGGUGAUUCUUCUGUUUCAGACACCCUGCUUCCUUAGUAACUGGGACUAAAGGUAUACGGCACCACACUGGCACAUUAUUUUGCAUAUCUUGCUUUUUAUUUUUGUAGAGAUGGGGUUCCAUCAUGUUUUCCAGGCUGAUCUCAAACUCCCACGGUCAAGCGAUCUGCUGGCCUCGGCCUCUCAAGGUACUGAGCUUACAGGCGUGAGCCACCAUGCCUGGUUCUAUCUCUGUCUGUCUGUCUACCUACCUAACUACCUACCUACCUACCUACCUACCUGUAAUCAAUCUAUCAUCUAUCUCUCCUUUUUUUUUAAGAAGAGACUUGGUCUUGCUAUGUUUUUCAGGCUCUGGUUUUAUAUAUAUAUAUAUAUAUAUAUAUAUAUAUUUUUUUUUUUUUUUUAAUUUAUUUAUUAUUUUUUAAUAUAGGGGUUGUCUCACCAUGUGGCCCCCAGGAUAGUCUCAAACUCCUGGGCUCAAAGUAUCCUCCCGCCUUGACCUCCCAAAGUGCUGGGAUUACAGGCAUGCACCACCAUGCACAAUCUGGUCAUAUUUUUGAUGUGUUGAUUCUUUCCAGUCCAGAUGUAUAAUCUCAUCCCUGAACAUUUCUGAUGGUGUGAUUAUGACAUGUGACUUUAUCUGGCAACAGAGUGAGUUGUUGCUCCCGCCUGAGCCCAGCCCCCAGAAAGGAUUGUGACAUAUCGUUGGACCCAGAAUUGAGGUAAUGUAACUAUUCCACUGCCUUGGCACUGCCCACAGAAGACAUUGUGACAUAUUGCUGGGUCUUGUACCCAGGUGGUGUGAAUCUUCUCUCCUGCCUUGGCUCUUCCACAGGGGGCAUUGUGUCAUAUCGCUGGGCCCCACACAUAGGUUAUGUGACUCUUCUGCCUGUGCCCUGCCCAUGUGGCCCAUUGUGACAUACUGUUGGGUCCCAAACCUAGGUGAUGUAACUCUACUGCUUAGGCCCUGCCUACAGAGGACAUUGUGACAUAUCCCUGCAUCCAUCACACAGGUAAUGCAGCUCUCUUCUGCUUGGCCCCUACUCACAGAAAGGAUUGUGAUGUAUCACAGGGCUCAGCACCUAGCUAACAUGACUUUUCUCCUCUUCUAGGUUUUUGCCCACAGGGGAUAUUGUGACAUGUCACUGGGCCUAAUACUAGGGUGACAGUACUCUUGUGUCAUGGCACUGCCCUCAGCAGGUGUGGUGAUAUAUUACUGGGCCCAGAACAAAUGUGAUAUGAGUCUCCUGCCUGGACCCUGCCUACAAGGUGCAUUGUAACAUAUCUGGGGCCCUUUGACUAUUUUAUUUUAUUUAUUGUAUUAUAUUUUAUUUAUUUUAAUUUUAUUUUUGAGACAGAAUCUCACUCUGUCACCUAGGAUGGAGUGCAGUGGCGUGAUCUCUGCUCACUUCAACCUUUGCCUCCUGGGUUCAAGUGAUUCUCCUGCCUCAGCCUCCUGAGUAGCUGAGACUACAGGUGUGUGCCGCCACGUCUGGCUGAUUUUUGUGUUUUCAGUAGAGACAAGAUAUCACCCUGUUGGCCAGGCCGAUAUCAAACUCCUGACCUCAGCCAGUCCACCCGCCUUGACCUCCCAAUGUGCUGAGAUUACAGGUGUGAACCAUUGCUCUUGGCACCCUUUGACUAUUUUAUGUGACUCUUCUCUCUUACCUGGACAUUGACCAAAUGGGCCCAGCACCAAGGUGAUAUGACUCUCCUCUCCUGCCUGGGCCUUGCCCUUAGAAGAGAGAGUGACUUACUGCUGAAUUUAGCAUACAGGUGAUAUGAUUCUUCUGCUGACUCGCAGAAGUCACUGUAACAUAUAUGUGGGCCCAUUGCUGAGGUUGUGUGACUCUCUUCUCCCUGGGACCUGUCCACAGUAGGGAUUGUGACAUAUUGCUUGGCCAAGCACCUACAUUGUGUGACUUUUUAUUUAUUUAUUUUUUUAAGACAGAGUUUUGCUCUUGUUGCCCAGGCUGGAGUGCAAUACCAUGAUCUUGGCUCAGCUGGGAUUACAGGCAUGCGCCACCACACCUGGCAAAUUUUUUUUAUGUUUUCAGUAGAGAUGGGGUUUCUCCAUGUUAGUCAGGCUGGUCUCAAACUCCCAACCUCAGGUGAGCCGCCUGCCUUGGCCUCCCAAAGUACUGGGAUUCCAGGCAUGAGCCACUGCACCUAGCUUCGAUAUGACUGUCUUCUUAUGCCAGGGCCCUGCCGACUGGAGUGAUUUUGACACAUAGCUGGGGCCAGCUCAAAUGUUAUGUGACUCCACACUUCUUCCUGAGCCCUAUCUGUGAGGGGCACUGUGUCUUAUCUCUGAGACCGUUAAUUAGGUAAUAUAACUUUUAUUUUUUUGAGACAGAGUCUGGCUUUGUUGCCCCGGCUGGAGUGCAGUGGUGUGAUCUUGGUUCACUGCAACUUCCGCCUCCUGGGUUCAAGUGAUUCACCUGCCUCAGCCUCCUGAGUAGCUGGGAUUACAGGUACACAUGCCACCACGCCCAGCUAAUUUUUGUAUUUUUAGUAGAGAUGAAGUUUCACCAUGUUGGCCAGGCUGGUCUCGAAUUCCUGACCUCAAGUGAGCCACCUGCCUUGGCCUCCCAAAGUGCUGGGAUUACAGGCAUGGGCCACCACACCUGGCCAAUGUAACUCUUUUGUUUGGACUGUCUUCUUGGGGUAUUGUGAUAUAUUGCUGGGCCCAGAAUCCGGGUGAUGUGACUCUGCUGUUUCAUCUCUGCACAAAAAGGGAUUGUGACAUACCACUGGGUCAAGAACCUAGAUGAGGUGACUCUCCUCUCCAGCCUGGGACCUGCACACAUUGUGUACUAAGACAUAUCACUGAGUCUAACACCUAGGUAAUGCAACUCUCCUGCAUGGGCCCUGCCCAUAGGGGUAUUAUGAAAUAUCUUUCUGUUAAUCACCUAGGUGAUGCGACACUCCUCUUCUACCUGGGAACUGCCAAAACAAGUAUUGGUACAUAUCACUGGGCCCAGCACAUAGGUGAUGUGACUCUUUUCUCAUGCAUGGGCUCUGCGAACUGGGGUGUUUUUUACAUAUAGUUGGGCCUAAACCCUAGGUCGUGUGAUUCUUUUAUUUUCCUGAGCUGUACUCACAGAGAGCAUUUUGACAUGUUUUUGGGCCCGUAAUUUAGAUGAUGUGACUCUCUUGGAUGGGCCUUCCCCGGAAUGGGUAUUGUGACAUAUUGCUGAGCCCAUUAUAUAGGUGAUGUGACUCUCUUGCAUGGGCCCUCCACAUAAGGGGUAGUGUGACAUAUUGCUGAGCCCAGUAGGUGAUGUGACUCUUCUCUAUGGUUUGGGCUUUGCCCAAGCAGGGAUUGUGAUGUGUUGCUGGACUCACCACCUAUGUGUUGUGACUCUCCUCUUCUGCCUAAGCCCUGCAUGCAUUGUGUGUUGUGACAUGCCUGGAUUCAACACCUAGGUGAUACAACUUUAUGGCAGGGGAACCACCCACAGAAGUAUUGUAUCAUCUUUCCAUCACUUAGGUGAUGUGAUUCUUUUAUUUUUCCUGUUUCUGGCAUAUUUUGGGUAUAGUGACAUACCAUUGAGUUCAACACCCAUGAAAUCGGAGGCUUCUGCCUGAGCCCAGCACAUAAGUGACCUUGUGACAUAUCUUUGCAUUCAUUAUCUAGGAGAUUUAACUCCCCUUUUUGCCUGCACCCUGACCACUGGGAAGAUUGUGGCAAAUCACCGGUCUCAGCAAUCAAGUGAUGUGUUUUUCCUGCCUGGUCCUUGCCCACAGAUCAUUGUAACAUGUCACUGGGCCUAGCAUCCAGGUGAUGUGACUCUGCUGACUAUAUUCUGCUUUCAAGAGGAGAUUGUAACGUAUCCCUAAUCGAGCACCCAGGUGGUGUGACACUUCUGCCCUAUCCCUGCCCUUAGAGAUGAUUGUGACAUAUUGCCCCAAAAGGCAGGUGAUGUGAGUCUUCUGGUCAAUCCCUAUUCACUGGUGGGAUUGUGAUACAUAUCUUAUCCAAACUUAUAGGGGCAAUAUGACUCUCAUACCUCUAAACAACCAAUAGCAGAUACACUAGUUCUCAUAGCCAGGGUCAGGAAAAUGAGUAAUGUCUUGGGUUUCUUCUUUGUAUGAAGGUCAUAAAGAAUUAACACUCUGUCACAUACUGUGUAAAGUCGUCAAGAGGUACAGGGAAUGUCCUAACAGAACUCAGCACACAGGGGAGGUUGCGACACUCAUAUGCAUAGCCUGCCAACAGUAAAGACUGUCAUCCUUCCACAUAAACACAGCUCACUGUUGAGGUUCUGAAUCUCAUACCCAGAUGAAGUUGAAAGUUAGAAAAUUAAAUCUCAUGUUAAUUCGAUCCAUAGAGAGGUUAGUGUCUCUGAGACCAAGAUUCAGCACACCUGUGAGUCAGUGACUUCAUUAAAAUGACAGAAUUUGCAGGAAGGAUUGAAGUUCUCAUGCACAAAUCCAGACCAUCAUUGAGACUGUCACUCAGGUACUUACACCCAACAUACAGAGGGUAUUUUGUCUCAUACCUAGAACUAAGAAAUGUGUGAAAUUGUUAAUCUCAUACCUCGACCUUAAUUCAGGUGUGUUUGUGACAUACACCUUUUUUAAGCACCUAAGUAAUUUGACUCUCCUGCCUGGGCCCAACGUACAGAUGGGAUUGUGCCAUAUUUCUGGACCCAGCAUUUAGGUGAUGUGAGUCUAUUCUCUUGUCUUAGUGCUUUCCACAGAGAACACUGGACAUAUCACAGGGCCUAGUGCCCAGGUGAUAUGACUUUCCUCUACUUCCUAGGCUUUUCCUAAGAAGGGAUUGUAAUAUAUUGCUGGGUCAGAACCUAGGUCGUGUGACUCUCCUGUGCUGCCUGGUUCCUCUUGUACAUUGUGUAUUGUGACAUGUGGCUUGUUCUAACACCUCGAUGAUGUGAAUCUCCUGCAUGGGCCCUGUCCACAGAGGUAUUAUAACAUAUCUUUUUAUUCAUCACCUAGAUGAUGUAACUCUUUUCUAUCUGGGCCCUGCCAAAAGGGAGGAUUGCGGCAUAUCACUGGACCCAGCAUCUAGGUGAUGUGAUUCUCCUGUUUUCCCUGGGCCUCAAAUAUUUUGGAUAUUGUAAAAUAUUGCUAGGCCCACUACCUAUGGGAUUGCAUGCUCCUGCCUGGGCUCUGCCCACAGGGACCUUGUGACAUAUAUCUGCGUCCAUGACCUAAAAGGUGACACUUCUUGCCUGCACUGUGCCCUGAACAGGAAAUAUUGUGACAUAUCCCUGGAACCAGACACCAGGUGAUAUGGCUCUUCUGCCCCUGUCUUGCCCCCAGGGAGCAUUGUGACAUAGUGCUUAGCUCAGCACCCAGGUGAUGUGACUCUGUUGCCUGUGCUGUGCUUUCAGGAGAGAAUUGUAACAUAUCCCUGGCUGAGCACCCAGGUGAUAUGACACUCCUGCUUGUUUCCUUCCCUCGGGGAAGAUUGUGAGAUACCUUGGCUGAAAUCCCAGGUGAUGUAACUCUCUUGCUAACUCCCUACCUACAGGUUAAAUGGUGACAUAUACUAUAGUCAGCUUAUAAGUGGAAUGAUGACUCUCAUACCUCUAGUCAGCUAUUGGAAGAAAUACUGUCUCUCAUAGCUCGACUUAGAUAAAUGAGUCACUUCCUUGGUCUUCUCUUUUUAUGAAGGUCAUAAAGAAUUGCCACACUCUAACAUAUUGUAUAAUGCCCUCGAGUGUUACAAACGUGUUAUCCCAGGGCACACAGCACAAAGGUGAGAUUGUUUCUUAUAUGCACACCUCACCAAUUAUUAGGAUUAUCACCCUCACACAGGGAAAGAGCCUAUGGCUGAAGUCUUGAAUCUCAAAUGCAAACAGAAUCUCAAAUGCAAACACUGUCCACAGUUGGAAUUGUGACUCAUGUAUGAGCCUCCAACCACAGUUGAGAUGGUGACACAUUUCUAAACUCAGAACAUAGCAGAUGAGGACUCUACUCUCUUAAACCCAACAAAUUAAGAGAGAUGUUGACUAAUACCUGGGCUUAGGGCCACAAGUAUGGUCAUGGGUGCUUACAAACAUGAUUUUAGAGUAAAUUGUGCCUCUCAUUUAUACUGGAUAAAGCCUUUGAGUAGUAUAGUGUACUAACCAGGCGCAGUGGCUCACGCCUGUAAUCCCAGCACUUUGGGAGGCCGAGGUGGGUGAAACGAGGUCAGGAGUUCAAGACCAGCCUGACCAACAUGUUGAAACCCCAUCUCUACUAAAAAAUACAAAAAAUUAGCUGGGCAUGGUGGUGGGCACCUGUAAUCCCAGCUACUUGGGAGCCUGAGGCAGGAGAAUUGCUUCAACCCGGGAGGUGGAGGUUGCAUUGAAUUGAGAUCAUGCCACUGUACUCCAGCCUGGGUGAUAGUGCGAGACUCUGUCUCACCAAAAAAAAAAAAAAAAAAAAAAAAAAAGAGUGUACUAACAAGACCCAGCACACAGAGGAGAUUUUCUCUUUUUCUUUUUCUUUUUUUCUUUUGAGAUGAAGUCUUGCUCUGUCACCCCAGCUGGAGUGCAGUGGCGCGAUCUCAGCUUACUGCAAUCUCCACCUCCGGGUUCAAGUGAUUCUCCUGCCUCAGCCUCCUGAGUAUCUGGGAUUACAGGCACAUACCACCAUGCCCGGCUAAUUUUUGUACUUUUAGUAGAAACAGGGUUUCACCAUGCUGGCCAGGAUGGUCUCAAUCUCCUGACCUCGUGAUCCACCUGCAUCAGCCUCCCAAAGUGCUGGGAUUACAGGUGUGAGCCACUGCAGCCGGCCUGGAGAUUUUCACUGUUAUAUGAACACCCAUCAAAAAGUAUACAUCAUCAUAUUCUCACAUAAACACAGCCCACUUUUGAAGUUCUGGAUCACACCUAGAGGAAGUCAAAGGUGGAAAAAUUGACUCUUAUAUAUGGAUCCAGUCCAUAGGUGAGUUGGUGACACUCAGAGCAAGAUUCAGCAUGCGUAUGAGGCUGUGACUUCACUAAUUAGACAAAGUCCACAGGAGGAGUAUAGGCUGUCAGGUACAAAUUUAGUUCACUGUUGACAUUGUAACUCCUGUUCUUAGACACAACAUAUAGGAAGGGUUAACCUCCUUUACCUAAAACCGGAACAUGUGUGGGAUUGUUAAUUUCAUCUCUGCACCUUCCCACAGGUUUAAUUGUAACAUUUUUCUCUGCCCAGCACCUGAGUGAUCUGACUCUCUUGCCUAAGACCAGCCCACAGAUGGAAUAGUGACACAUAGCUGAACCCAGAACUGAGGGGAUGUGAUUCUAUUUUUCUGCAUUGGUGCUGCUCACAGGGGACAUUGUGACAUAUCGCUGGACCUUACACUUAAAUGAUUUGAGUCUCCUCCCCUGCCUUGGCACUGCCUACGGAAGGCGUUGGGACAUGUCUCUGAGCCCUAUGCCCAGGUUAUGUGACUCUCCUGCCUGUUCCCCGACCACAUAAGCAAUUGUGACAUAUUGCUGGGUUUGACACCCUGGUAAUGUAACUCUACUGCCAAAAAGGAGCAUUAUGACAUAUAUUUCCAUUCAUUACCCAGGUGUUAUGACUCUCUUCUCCUGCCUGGUCCCUGCUCACAGAGGGAAUUUUGACAUAUCCCUUGGCUCAGUACCAACAAGUGUGGUUCUUCUUCCAUCAUAAGUUCUGCUGGCAAGGGAGAUGGAGACAUAUUGUGGAGCUCUAUGCCAAUGUGACAUUACUGUUUGCUUUGGCCUGGACCUCAAAAGGCAUUGUGACAUAUUGCUGGGCCCAGCAACAUGGUGACAUGAGUCUCCUGUAUGGACCAUGACAACAGAGCAUUGUGACAUAUCUUUAAGAGCAUCAACUAUUUGAUGUGACUCUCCUUUUCUACCAAGGUUUCCCCACAAUGAGAGAUUGUGACGUAUCUUCUGACCCAGAAAUCAGGUGAUGUGUUUCUCCUGCCUGAGCUUUGCUCAUAGGGAGCAUUGUGACAUAUCACUCGUCUCAGCUCCCAGGUGAUGUGACUGUACUGUCUGUGCCCUGGUUUCAGGAGGAAAUUUAACAUAUCCCUGACUGAGCACCCAGGUUUUAAUUCUUCUGCCUGGUGCCUUCUCUCAGAGAAGUUUGUGACAUAUCCCUGGCCUAUUACCCAGAUGAUAUAAGUCUCCUGCUCACUCCCUAUCCACAGUGGAGAUUGUGACAUCUUUUUUCAGAUCAUAGGCACAAUGUUGGCUGUCAUAUCUGAAACCAGUCAAUAGGAGACAUACUAUCUCUCAUAUGUGGGCUUAGGUACAUGGGUAAGAUUGUCACUCUUCUCUUUUUAGGAAGGUCAGAGAAAAUUACACUCUCUCACAUAUUGUAUAAAGUCCUCAAGUGGUAUACAGAGUGUCAUAACGGCUCUAGAAAACAGAUGGGAUUGUGAUUUAUGUAUGCACACUUUGCCAAUUGUUAAGAUUGUCACCCUCAUCCAUGGACAAAGCCUACUGGAGAGGUCUUAAAUCUUACAUGUGGAUGCAGUGCAGAGUUGAAAUUGUGACUGUCAUAUGUGAACAUCAGGCAACAGCUGAGGUGGUGACUCAUUAGUAAGCCUAGCUUAUAGGGAGGUAACAACUCUCAUAUCUGGACCCAGUCAUUAUAGAGGUGUUAACUCUCAUAUCUGGGCAUAGAGCCACAGGUACGAUUAUGGGUCGAUACCAUUACAAUUGUCUCCCAGUCACAAAAGAUUGCGACUCUCAUGGGAACCUUAUAAAUUCCUCGGUUGGUACAGGGAAUGUUCUAACUAGGCUCAUUGUACAGUUGAGGUUUUGACACUCAGGCACACCCAGCCGACAGUAAAGAUUGUCCUCUUUUCACAUGAAUACAAUCCACUGGAUGUUCUGAAUCUCAUAUCCAGAGACAGUUGCAAGUUGGAAAAUUUACUCUUAUAAGUGAAUCCAGUCCAAAGUUAAGUUGGUGACUUUCAGACCAAGAUUGAACACACUGUUAGUCUGUGAUUCCACUAAGGUGAAACAGCCAGUAAGAGGGAUUGUGUCUCUCAUUCAAUGAUUCAAUUCAUUCUAAAAAUGUGACUUGUGUACUUGGAUUUAACAUACAGGAGGUGUUGACUCUCAUACCAAGAAUUGGGGUAUAUACAGGAUUGUUAGUCUCAUCCUUGGUCUUUCCUUCAGGUGCAGUUUUGACACACUUCUGUCUAGCAGCUGAGUAUUGUGAUCUUCAGAACUGGCCCAGCCUACAAAUAGGAUUGUGCCACACUGCUGGACCCAGCACCUAGAUGAUGUAACUAUUCUCCUGCCUUGGUGCUACUCAAAAAAGACAUUAACAUAUCUCAGAGCCUUGCACCCAGGUAAUGUGAGUCUCCUCUCCUGCCUUGCUGCUGCACACAGAAGCGGGUUAUGUACAGGAUUGUUAAUCUCAUUUGGACCUUCCUGCACCUAUGAUUGUGACACAUGCCUCUGUGUAGAACCCAAGUGAGUUUUCUCUCCUGUUUGGAUUUAACCCACAGAUGGAAUCGUGACAUAUCGCUGCACCAGAAACUAGGUGAUGUGACUCCAUUUCCUUGCCUCUGUGCUUUCCACAUUAGGCAUUGGGACAUAUCACUGGGCCUUGCAUCCAGGUGAUGGGAGUUUUCUUUUUCUUUCUUUCUUUCUUUCUUUUUUUUUUUUUUGAGACAGAAUUUCGCUCUUGUUACCCAGGCUGGAGUGUAAUGGUGCAAUCUUGGCUCAAGGCAACCUCCGCCUCCUGGGUUUAAACAAUUCUGUCUCAGCCUCCCAAGUAGCUUAGAUUACAGGCAUGCGCCACCACGCCUGGCUAAUUUUUGUAUUUUUAGUAGAGACAGGGUUUCUCCAUGUUGGUCAGGCUGGUCUCGAACUCCUGACCUCAGGUGAUCCACCUGCCUUGGCCUCCCAAAGUGCUGGGAUUACAGUUGUGAGCCACCGUGCCCGGCCAGUGAUGGGAGUUUUCUCUCCUGCUUUGGUGCUGACCACAGUGAGCAUUGUAAAAUAUUGCUGCCAUCACCCCUAGAUUAUGUUAACUCUCCUCUGCUUUGCCCACGUGGUUCACUGUGACAUAUUACUGGGUCUAAAACCCAGAAAAUGUAACUCCCUUAUUUAGGUUCUGCCUGCAGGAGCCAUUGUCACACAUCUCUGUGCUCACCACCCAGGUGAUGUGACUGCCUUUUACUGCCUAGUUCCUUCUCACAAAACAUCUUGUGGCAUACUGCUAGGCCCAGUACCUGGCUGGUGUGACUCCUCUCUUCUUUCUAGGUUCCACCUGCAGCAAAGAUUGUAACAUACCGCUGGGCCCAACAGCAUAAUGACGUUAUUCUUUUGCCUUGGGCCUGCCCUCAGAAGGCACUAUAAAAUAUUCAUGGCCCCAGCGCCAAGGUGAUGUGUGUCUCCAGCCUGGAUCCUGCCCACAGAGGGCAUUAUGACAUAUCUCUUGGCCCAUCAGAUGUUUAAUAUUAUCUCCUCCCAUUUCCUACCCUGUGUUUGCCUGUAAGAGACAUUGUCACAUGUUCCUGGGCCCAGCACCUAGGUGAUGUCUUCCUGAGACCUGUCCAUAUGGGGAUUGUGAUAUAUUGUGUGGCCCAGAACUUACUUGAUGCGACUCUCCUCUCAUGACUAGGCCCUGCUUACAGGUGUGAUUGUGACACACAGCUUGGCCUAGCCCCUAAGUUAUGUUACUCUGCUCUUAUUCUUCAGUCAUUUUCACAGGGGGCAUUGUGACAUAUUGCUAGACUGAGAACUUAGGUGAUGUGACUCUCCUCUACUGCUUGGAAUAUUCCCAAAAAGAGAGUUUGAUAUAUUGCUUAGCCAGGAUCCUAGGUGAUGUUACUCUUUUCUCCUGCCUAAACCCUGCAUACAUUAUGUAUUUUGGCACUGGGGCCACAACCUAGGUGAUGUAACUCUCCUGCAUGGGCUUUGCCUACAGGGGUAUGAUGAUGUUUCUUUUCUUUCAUCACCCAAGUGGUGUGACUCUCCACUUAUGCCUGGGUCUUGAUGAAAGAGGAAUUGUGACAUAUCCCUGGCCCUAGCACUUAGGUGAUGUAACUUGCCUUUAUUGCCAGGGCAUGGCAUAUUAUGAAUAUUGGACGUAUCUCUGGGACUGACACCUAGGGGAUGAGAGGUUCCUGCCUUGGCCCUGCCCACAGGAGGCUUUGUGGCAUGUCUCUGGCCUCAUUACCUAGAAAGAUGUGACUCUUCUCUUCUACCUGCAUUCUUCCCACAGAGAAGAUUGUGACAUCACUGGAUCCAGCAAUUAGAAAAUGUUUCUCUCCUGCCUGAGCCUUGCCCACAGGAAUAUUGUGACAUAUCCUUGGGCUCAGCACCCAGGUGAUGGAACUCUGCCACCUGUGCCCUGUCUACUUAGGCUAUUGUGAAGCUGGUUUCAAUACCCAGGUGAUGUAACAUUCCUGCCAGGCCACUGCCUUCCAGGGAUAUUGUUACGUACCUUUGUGCCAAUCACCAAGGUGAUGUGAAUCUUUUCACCUGCCUAGUCCUUGUUCACUAGGGGAUAAUGAUAUCUAUUGCUGGUUUCAGCACCAAGCUGAUGUUACUUGCCUCUUCUUCACAGAUUCUGCUCACAGAAAAACUAACACAUCACUAGGCCCAUCAGCGAAAUUAUUUUGCCUGGCCCUGCCCUUAAAAGACAUUGUGACAUACUACAGUGCCCAGCAUCAAUGUAAUUUGUCUCCUGCCUAAACCCUGCCUACUGGGGGCAUUGUGACAUAUCUCUUGGCCCAUCAACUAUUUGAUGUGACUCUACUUUCUUACCUGGGCUUUGCCAAUAGUAGAGCUUGUGACCUAUCUCUGGGCCCAGCACCUAGAUGUUAUGACUCUCCCGCCUGGUCCAUGCACACAAAAAAGAGAGUGACUUAUACUAGGAUCAACACACAAAUGAUUCUAUUCUUCUGCAUUAUCCCAGCCCACAUGGCUUAUUGUGACAUCUCUAGGUUCAUCAUCUAGAUGAUAUGACUCUCCUUCCUGGGAACUGUCCAUAAUGAAGAUUGUGACACAUCACUUGGCCCAGCACCUAUGUGAUAUGACUCCUUUCUUUUGCCUGGGCCUAUCAGUUUGGGUGAUUGUGUCAUAUAGCUUUACUCAGCACCUUGAUUAUGUGACUCUCCUGUUUCUCCUGAGUCCUACCCACAGAGGUCAUUGCAACAUAUCCCUGAGCCCCUAAUUUAGGUAAUUUGACUCCUGCCUGGGCCCUACCCUCAUUGAUUUUUGUGACAUAGUUUUUGACUCAGCACCUAGGUAAUGUGAUUCUUCUCCACUGCUUGGACUCUGUCACAGAAGGUAUUGUGAUGUAUCACUGGGGCUGACACCUAGGUGAAGGUACUGUCUUCUCCUGCCUGGGCCCUGCAUAAAUUGUAUAUUUUGACAUUUCACUAGGUUCAACACAUGGGUGAUUCAACUCUCUCACAUGGACCGUGAGCAUGGGGUUAUUGAGACAUUUAUUUUUGUUCAUCACCUAACCGAUGUGACUCCUCUCUGAUCCCUGUCAAAAGGAAAGAUUGUGACAUAUCACUGGAACCAGAACUUAGGUGAUGUGACUCUUCUGUCUAACAACCACAUAUUUUGGUUAUUGUGACAUUUCACUGGGCCAAACACCUCAGCCCUGUCCACAGGGGUUCUUGUGACAUAUAUCUGCAUCCAUUACAUAAAAGAUGUGAUGCCUUUUCUACCUGCACCCUCCCCACAGGAAAGGUUGUAACACACUGCAGGGCCCAGCCACCAGGUGAUAUGUCUCUCCUGCAUGUGCAUAACUUUCAGGAGAAAAUUGUAACAUGCCACUGGUUGAAAACCCAGAUGAUGUGACUCUCCUGCCUUUUCACAGCCCUCAGGGAAAAAAAUUACAUAUCAUUUGCCCAGCAUCCAGGUAAUGUCACUCUCCUGGGUGGUUUGUGCCAACAAGUUGGUUGGUAACAUAUAUCUCGGCCCAGCUCACAGGUUUGAUGGUGACUCUAAUACCUCCUACCAGCCAAUAGAAGAGACACUGUCUCUCACAGGUAGGCUUAGAAAGAGGAGUAAAAUUCCUGGCUGGGUGUGGCGGCUCACGCCUAUAAUCCCAGCACUUCAAGAGGUAGAGGUGGACGGAUCACCUGAUGUCGGGAGUUCAAGACCAGCCUGACCAACAUGGAAAAACCCUGUCUCUACUAAAAAUACAAAAAAUUAGCCAGGUAUAGUGGCACGUGCCUGUAAUCCCAGCUACUCGGGAGGCUGAGGCAGGAGAAUCGCUUGAACCCAGGAGGUGGAGGUUGUGGUGAGCUGAGAUCACACCGUUGCACUCCAGUCUGGGCAACAAGAGUGAAACUCUGUCUCACAAAAAAAAAAAAAAAGAAAAAGAAAAAGGAGUAAAAUCCUGGUGGUCUCUCUGUAUGAAGGUUAUAGAGAAUUACCACUCUCUUGUAUAUUGUGUAAAGCACUUGGAUGGUACAGAGCAUGUCUUCUGUACCAUAGGACCCAGCAAACAGGUUAGAUCAUGUUUCAUGUAAGCACAUCCUGCCAGUUUUUAGGAUUGUCAUCCUCACACAUGAAAGAGCCCACUGACUGAUGAGGUCAUAAUUCUCAUGGAUGGAUGCAGUCCAUACUUAAAAUUGUGACUAUCUUAUGUGAACAUGUGGCCACACUUGAGAUGGUGAAUCAUUUCUAAACCCAGCUCAUAGUGGUGAGGACUCUCCUCUCUGGACCCAGCUAAUUGGAGAGAUGUUAAAUGUCAUACCUAGACUUGGGACCACAUUAGAUCAUGUGUUCAGAGCAGGUUGCAACUCUCAGGCACACCAUAUACAGUCCACAAGAGAGUGUCCUGACAGAGAGAAGCACACAGGUGAGACUGAAAUUUAUAUUCACACCCAGUCAAUACCAAAGAUUGUCAUCCACUUAAACACACUCUUCUUUUGAGGUUCUGAAUCUCACUUUUGGAGGCAGCUGAGUGUUGGAAAAUUGACUCUCAUUUGUGGAUUUUUGUCCACAGUUGGGUUAGUGACUCGUUAACCAAAAUUCAGCACACCUUUGUGACUGCAACUUCACUAAGGAGCAUAAUUUAUUUAUUUUGAGAUGGAGUUUUGCUCUUGUUACCGAGGCUGGAGAGCAGUGGCACGAUCUUGGCUCACUGCAAACUCUGCUUCCUGGGUUCAAGUGAUUCUCCUGCCUCAGCCUCCUGAGUAGCUGGGAUUACAGGUGCCCACCACUAUGCCAGCUAAUUUUUUGUAUUUUUAGUAGAACUGGGGUUUCACCAUGUUGGUCAGGCUGGUCUUGAACUCCUGACCUCAAGUGAUCCACUUACCUCAGCCUCCCAAAGUGCUGGGAUUACAGGUGUGAGCCUCCUUGCCUAGACUAAGGCACAUAAUUUGCAAAAGAAAUUGAGGCUCUUAUGCACAAAUCCAGUCCACCAUUGAGACUGACCCCUGUACUUAGACCCAACAUGCAGGAAGUGUUGACUGUCAUUCCUUGACUCAGGACAUGAGUGUAAUUGUUAAUGUCAUCACAAGACCUUUCUACAAGUGUCAUGUGACAUACAUCUUAGCCCAGCAUCUGAGUUAUUUGUCUUUUCCUGGGACCAGUCCACAGUGCCAUAUCACCGGGCCCAUACCCUUGGUAAUGUGAUUCUAUUCUGCUUUGAUAAAGCGCACAGUGGUCAUUGUGACAUUGCUUGGUGUUGCACCCAGGUGGUGUGAGUCGGCUCUUCUGCCUUGGUGCUGCCCACAGAUGUAUUGUGACAUAUUGCUGGGCCUAUGUUAUGUUUAUCUUUUGCUUGUGCCCUAAACACAUAGCCUGAGUCCAACGACCAGGUGAUGUAACACUUCAUCCUGGACCGGUCUACAGAGGGGAUUGUAAUAUAUGUCUUCACCAAUCACCCUGGAAAUGUGACUUACUUUUCCUGCCUGUCCCUAAUCACAGGGGGUACUGGAACAUAUUGUUGGGCCCAGCACGUAGCUGAUGUGACAAUUUUUUUUUGGGUUCUGCUCACAAAAGAGAUUAUGACAUGUGAUUGUGCCUAACACUAAGGUGAUGUUACUUUUUUUUUUUUUUUGCUUUGGCUCUGCCCUUAGAAGGCAUUGAGACAUGGCUGGGCUCAGCACUAAGAAGAUGUGAGUCCUCUGCCUGAAGCCUGACCACAGGGAGCAUUGUGACACAUUUCUUGACCCAUUACAAUCUCUUCUACGGGCAAAGCUGAGGUAAAUGCCCGUUUUACCUAUGUGAUGUGACAUUCCUCUUCUGCCUGGGCCAUGCCCACAGAAUAGAGUGACGUAUUGGUGGGGCAAGCAAAACAGUGGUGUAAUUAUUCUGCCUGGUCCCUGUACACAGGAGUCACUGUGAUACAUGUUUGGGCCUCCCACCUAGAUGAUGUGACUUUUUUCUUCUGGAGUUUGUCCACAGUGGGAAUUGUGAUAUGCCACGUGACAUAGCUCCUAUGUGAUGUGACUCUUUCUCAUUCUUGGCCUCUUUCCACUGGGGUUACUGGAACAUAAAGCUGAGCCCAGCUCCUAGGCUGUGUCUCUCCUUUCUAAGCCCUACCCACAAAGGACAUUGUGACGUAUCUCUAGGCUUCUCACCUAGGUAAUAUUACUUUUUUACCUAGGCCCACCCCUCAGGGGUAUUGUGAAAUACUGCUGGACCAACAUGCUAGAUGAUAGGAGUCUCUGCUACUGCUUGGGGUGUGAUUAAGAGGAAAUUGUGAUGUGCAUUUGGGUGCAUCCAGCACCUAAGUGAUGUUAACUCUCCUCUUGUGCCUGAGACCUGCAUGCAAUAUGUGUUUUUGUGUUUUUUGUUUGUUUUUGAGAUGGAGUUUUGCUCCUUUUGCCCAGGCUGGAUUGCAAUGGUGCAAUCUCAGCUCACCACAACCUUCAUCUCCCAGGUUCAAGCAAUUCUUCAGCCUCAGCCCCCUGAGUAUCUGGGAUUACAGGCAUGUGCCACCAAGCCCGGUUAAUUUUUCUAAUUGUAGUAGAGAUGGGGUUUCUUCAUGUUGGUCAGGCUGGUCUCGAACUCCCAACCUCAGGUGAUCCACCGACCUCAGCCUCCUAAAGUGCUGGGAUUACCGGUGUGAGCCACCGCACCUGGCUGGCAUCAUGUAUUUCAACAUGUCUCUGGGUCCAACAACAUUAUGAUGAGACUUUCCUGUGUGGGCUCUCACACAGAACUAUUCUAACACAUCUUUUCAUUCAUUAUCUUGGCGAUUUGACUUUUCUGUUCCGCUUGAGCACUGCCAAAAGAAAAAUUUGUGGCAGAUCACUGGACCUAGCACCUAGGUGAUGUGGCUCUUCUCACUUGCCUGAGACCUGCAUAUUUUGGUUAUUGUGACAUAUCACUGAAACAAACACCUAGGGGUUGGAAGGCUUCUGCCUGAGCCCCUCCCACAGAGGGCCUUGGAAUAUAUUUUUUUAUCCAUCACCUGGGAGAUGAAACCCUCUACUUCUACCUGCCUUCUUCCCAUAGAGAAGAUUGUGAUAUAUUGCUGGGCCCAGGAACCAGGUGUUUUGUCUAUCUUUUCUGGGCUUUGCCUACAGUGAGCCUUGUGACACCCAGGUGAUCAUACUCUUCUUCCUAUGCCCUGCUUUCAGGAGAGGAUUAUAACAUCUCUGGUUGAGAACUCUGUGAUGUGACUCUCCUUGCUGGUGCAUGCUGUCAGGGAAGAUUGUGACAUAACCCUGGCUCAGCACACAGUUGAUGUGACUCUUGUGCUUGUUCUCUACCCACAGGUGGAAUUGUGACAUAUAACUUGGCCAAGCACACAGAUGUAAUGGUGUGGUGACUCUCAUACCUAGAACUGGGACCUGUGCAGGAUUGUUAAUUCAUUACUGGACAUUCCUGUGGGUGUGAUUGUUACAUAUGCCUAUGUUCAGCACCCGAGUGAUUUGAUUUUGCUGCCUGGUCUCAGUCCAAAUGUAAGAUUGUGAUUUAUCGCUGAAUCCAGCACCUCGGUGAUUUGACUCUCCCUUUUUUUGUGGGAGGGAUCCUGCAAAUUUUGGGUAUUGUCAAUUAUUGCUGAAUCCUGUACCCAUGUUAUGACUCUCCCAAAUGUGCCUUACCUGUUGUGGCACAAUAUAUCACAUUAGACAUUGUUAAAUAUUGUUGGGUUCAACACCUGGGUGAUGGAUGUAACUUUUUUUCUGGGCCUGCCUACAGGGGACCUUGUGACAUAACUCAAUGCCCAUCAUCAUGGUAAUGUUACUCUCUUCUCCUGCCUGAUCUCUGCUCACAGAGAAAUUGUGACACAUCACUGGCCUAGCAUCUAGGUGAUGUGACUCUCCUCUUUUUUUCAGGCUCUGCAUAUUUGGGUAUUGUGACAUAUUGCUGAACUCAACACCUAAGGGAUGGGAGUCUCCUACCUAGGCCCUUCCUACAGGGGACAUUGUGACAUGUCUCUGCAUUCCUCAUCCAGGAGAUGUGACUCUCCUUUUCUGCCUACACCCUGCCUACACAGAAAGUUGUGGCAUAUUGCUGUGGUCAGCAACCAGAUGAUAUAUUUCUCCUGCCUGGGUCUUUAUUACAGGAAAGAUGAUUGACAUAUUACUGGGCCCAGCAUCCAGAUGAUGUGACUCUCUUCUUCUGUUGGUCCUUGCUUACAGGGAAACUGUAGCAUAUUGCUACACCCAACACCUAGCUUAUGUGAUUCUUCUUUUAGGUUUGCCUUCAGGGAACAUUGUGACAUAUUGCUGGGCCCUGCACUGAUAAUUUGUGACUCUUCUGCCUGUGAUUUGCCCACUUGGGGCAUUGUGACAUAUUGCUGGGUUUAACACUCAGGUGAUGUAACUUUUAUGCCUAGGCCUUGCUUACAGGAGGCAUUUUGAAAUGUCUUUGUGGCUGGGCAUGGUGGCUCAUGUCUGUAAUCCCAGCGCUUGGGGAGGCCAAGGUGGGCAGAUCACAAAGUCAGGAGUUCGAGACCAGCCUGGUCAACAUGGUGAAAACCUGUCUCUACUAAAACAAAACAAAACAAAACAAAACAAAACAAAACAAAACAAAACAAAACAAAUAAAACCACAAAAAUCAGCCAGGUGUGGUGAUUGGUGCCUGUAGUUGCAGCUACUCAGGAGGCUGAGGCAGGAUAAUCGCUUAAGUCCAGGAGGUGGAGGUUGCAGUGAGCUGAGAUUGCACCACUGCACUCCAUCCUGGGCAACAGAGUGAGACUCCAUCUCCAAAAAAAAUAAAAUAAAAUAAAAUAAAAAUACAAAUGUCUUUGCACCAAUCCUACAGGUGAUGUGACUCUCUUGUGUUACCUGGUCUCUGCCCCCAGGAAGAAUUGUGACCUUUCACAGCGUAUAGCUAAUUUUUUUCUUUUAUUUCUUAGUUUUUCUCCUGCAGGAAAGAUUGUGAAAUAUUACUGAACUAAGCACCAAAGGGAUAUAUUUUUUUUCUUGGACCUGCCCAUGUAAGACCUUGUGACAUAUUGCUGGGCCCUACACCUAGAUGAUGUGAGUUUUCUGCCCGUCAACUAUUUUAUGUGACUCUCCUCUCUUAUCUUCACUUUGUCCAUAGGUUAGCUUUUAAUAUACCUUUGGGCCUGGGUCAUGCUAAUAGAAGCAAGAGUGACUUAUUGUUGGGCCCAGCACACAGGGGAUGUGAUUCUUCUGCUUGGUUCCUGCCGAAAUGGUCAUUGUGACAUAUCUAUGGGUCAGUUGGCUAAAUGACAGGACUCUUUUUAUCUUUCUGGAGCAGUCCACAGUAGGAAAUUUGACAUAUCGCUGGGCCCAGCACAUAUCUGAUGUGACUCUCCUCUCAUGCCAAGGCCUUGCCUACUGUAGUGAUUGUGCCAUAUAGCUGGGCCCAGCUCCUACGUUAUCUGACUCCUGUUUUCUUCCUGAGCCCUAUGAAAAGAUUGCAUUAUUAAAUAUUUCUGGGUCUUU
rnacentral:lncRNA from 1 species